GGCCCUGCGGGCUUCUCCGUGUCUCUAUGGGCCUCAGGCGUGGUGUGCGCGGGUAUCUCGGGGUCCCCGCCAUACCUGGUGAGUCGCGGCAUGGCUCUGGCCACAGGCGUCUCUGGGAGCGGCAGCAGAUAGGUCACUGUCUGCCGCUCCGGUGCUGACAGUCUCUCUGCUACUGGAGCGUUGUCCAGCUGAAUUCUGUCCCUAUUUCACCCAUGUACUUUCCUCAGGAUGCGAAGUCCACUGGCCACUGAACCCCACGGGAAGAGUACAAGGACAGCGAAAGCUAGGAUGGCCGUGGCUGAGAAGGUGAAAAGAUUUUUCUCAAAGUACUCCAUGAACAGACACAAAAUGACCACGCUCACGCCCACAUACCACGCCGAAAGUUACAGUCCUGAUGACAACAGGUUUGACCUGUGGCCCUUCCUCUACAACACGACCUGGCCCUGGCAGUUCCACUGCACUGACAGACACGUGAGUCUGUAGAGAACACAGAAGGUUACCUCUUCCUUCCCUGAGGAGAAAAAUGUUUAUGUGUACAAUGGCAUGUUAAUGUCCUUACUUCAACAAAAGGACAGGUAUGUUUAAAAGGUUUGGGGUUUUCUUUUUUAAACAUUCUUUUUUAGUUAGGGCCUCAAGUAGCCCAGGCUGACCUCAAGCUCUUACUGUAUAGCUGAGGCUGACCUUGAACUCUUGAUCCUCCUGGCUGUACCCCACAAGUGCUGGGGUGACAACGUGCACCACCACGCUCAGUUUAUGUGGUGCUGGGAAUGGAAUCCUGGGCUUUGUGCACGCUAGGCAAACCCUCUACCUACUAAGCUACGCCCCCAGUCCUCAGGGUGUUUUAUUGACGACAUAUGUAUUCCUGGUGAACAGUGUGUACACUGUGGAGUGGAUCAAGCUAUUGAACGUGCACAUUGCCUCACUCUGUGUGGUAUGUGGUAAGAAAAGUUAAAUUGGGCUAGAGUAAAAAAAAAAGAAUCAGGCUGGAGAGUGGCUCAGUGGUUAGGAACACUGGCUGCUCAUGUGGAGGACCUGGGUUCAGUUCCCAGCACCCACUUGACAGCUCACAACCACCUGUAACUCCAGUUCCAGG
rnacentral:lncRNA from 1 species